rnacentral:rRNA from 1 species
AUUGAACGCUGGCGGCAUGCCUUACACAUGCAAGUCGAACGGCAGCACGGGAGCAAUCCUGGUGGCGAGUGGCGAACGGGUGAGUAAUAUAUCGGAACGUGCCCAGUCGUGGGGAUAACGUAGCGAAAGCUACGCUAAUACCGCAUACGAUCUAUGGAUGAAAGCGGGGGAUCGCAAGACCUCGCGCGAUUGGAGCGGCCGAUAUCAGAUUAGGUAGUUGGUGAGGUAAAGGCUCACCAAGCCGACGAUCUGUAGCUGGUCUGAGAGGACGACCAGCCACACUGGGACUGAGACACGGCCCAGACUCCUACGGGAGGCAGCAGUGGGGAAUUUUGGACAAUGGGCGCAAGCCUGAUCCAGCAAUGCCGCGUGCAGGAUGAAGGCCUUCGGUUGGUAACUAGCUUUGUUACGGUAACGAACGGUAGAGC